UGCAGAGACACACAAAAGGCGGUGAGUCGGCACGUACGGUGGCGGUUUUGAGGGACUCACCAUGGUUCCCACGCUGUACGUGGCGGCGGGGCCGAUCGUGUGGUGGUAGGGGUCGGCCGUUGCAUAGACUCUGCCGUAGCUGCAUGUGAAAAGGGAAGAUUUGGUUCAGGCUCGGUCAAGCUGCAUCUCAACAAUCGUAUACGUGUCCUUACUAGGCAGGUAAAUGAUUUAUUUACGGUGAGACAACACUCUAGCGGCUGUACUGGAAAUUUUACCAGUACUCCAUUUUACGUCUAAUUAGGUAAUGUUGUGGUGAAGCAGCAUGUGGCUAAAAAAUGUUUAGGUUUAGGUAGGUGGAACAACAGACAAGCUGCUGAAAUAGAAAUUUCUCAGAACCGGCUUUUACAUGUGAUAUCUUGGUGAAGCAGCAUUUGGCUCCAGAUUAUUAGACACAGUUCCAGGAGGGUAAAAGAUGAGUUUAAGUGUGACAAGAGCUUCUGUAAUUGAUAUUCAUACCAACAGGACCCAAAAAGUGAUCAGAUAAUGUCUUGGAGAAGCAGCAUGUGGCUCCAUGUUUGAGUGUCACAGUAACUGCCAACAAUUGUACAUUUGUGAAAAUGAGCCAGCUUAUGUUUACUGUCGUGGAACAUCAGCUCCCAUGUUAGAAGACUACUGGUUCACGCAGUUUCUCUUCCAGCUCAUUGUAAAACAGAACAGGGAAGAUUGGUCGCUUCCAUUGAUCUUUCUAUCAUUUUUGUGUUCUUGUUUAACUCUGACGCGUGGAAGACAUGCCGCAGUUGUACUUGUGACGGGAGACAAAAGACGAGAGCGAGAGAACACAGUCACACCCGGAGGGGCACGCCGGACGUACGCCUCCCUCCCUCCCCGCGGCUUUUCAUCAUUGCCGCGAGAAGAUAAGACGGCUGAGGACCGAGGGCAGCAAAUCAUGCAAAACAAAACGGGGGAAGUCAUCCUCAAGGAGACGACUUAAAGGAGGAGCUGGCCCUUUAAGAGCGUCAGGAGUGAAGAGAGAAGCCAAGACCCUCAGGCACUCUCACACCAAAACGUCUUUCGCGCAAGUUUGAGAGACAUCCACCAGGGGGUCCCCUAGAGUGUCGGCGACCCGCAAGGAGUGAAACUCCUCAGUGCAAACACACGGACACACACUUUAUCAGCAAACACCGAGUGCAUUCGAAACUUCAGCCUUCAUGAACAUCGACUCAAGUCCAGCAAGUAACAGUCCUAGAGGAAAAAUGACCACCGCGAAAUCCUGGGAAAUACAAGUAGUGACAAAUCUCCAGCUCUGCAGACCAGCUCCACUUUGCAGUCAACACAUUGCGAUAAAUCUUCUUUUAUUAAGUGUGUAAUGAUCCCAAACUCCGGAUAUUCUCUGUCUUUAACACACUCUUUCCUGCGAUUUAGUGUAACAUCUGUGCUACUGUGACACUGGGAAAGUGCGUGUUUGUCUGUGGGGGUUGUGUUUGGGCUUCAUCUGUGAGUCUGGGAGGGUCGAGAAUCACUUUAAACUGACUGAGCUCCCAAAUUCACUGCAUUCUGAGAGAGAAACGGCACCUGCUGCAUUAUUAAACAUCCUUUUCCUUUCCGCGACAUGCCGCCGGCUGGCCAAUCAAGUACAACGGGAGAAAGCGGCGGUGGCGGGGCGUGGUGGCGGCAGGCGAGUGUUCAUUUGCCAGAGUGCGGAAGGAAUUAAGGAGCUCAUUGUUGGGGCGCCGUGCUAACUCUGUGAAAAAUGGAGUGGGCCAACUUCUUUUUCUAUUAGCCAUCUGGGUCUCGCUCAGGUGCCGUUUAAUAAUGCAGCGACUGUUCAUUUUCAAACUCACAGGGAGGUGGCAUGAGAAUUCAGGUCAGAGGUUCACAAAGGCCCAUAACCACCCCACUGCCCACCCUUCCCUGCUUUCCCUUCGGGUUUGUUAGUUUUCCCGCAAGGGACAGGAAGUGGCGGACGGAUGACUUCCUGUGGGACUGCCACGCCUCGGGACUGAUUACAACUGUGGUCGGCGCAAACGUGGGGGCCAUAAAUCACCGCCGCCCAUGUUGUCAAAUCCUGCAUACGACAGCGCAGCACAUUUGUUAUUGUGUCGCGGCAGGCGUGUACGUGAACGCUCAUUAGCAUAAGUGACAUAUGUGUGGCAUAUUUGCGCUAAUUUGCUCGCAGGUCAGUAAAGGGAGACGAUUGCAAGGAUAGCGGGUGGCGAUGAUGUGAUGGUGGGGUGCGAUGGGUGAUGGGGUUUGUAUUCAUGUGACUGAAGGUGGUGAUGAUGGCUGGCGGUAAUGAUUAUGUUCACUCGUUCACUGCUGUGGACGCUGAUAUGCAUCAAGUAUAUCCCACUGCUACCCACAUACAGUAUAUAUUCUUUAAGAUAUGUUUUCCAACAAGGUAGCUGUGGAAGAGAAGUCUAUGAAUAUCAAGUUUGUAAUCCACUUUAAUGACAAACAGAUCCUUGUAGAUGGCGCCGUUGAAUCGCUUAAAGAGGUGACUCUCGGCUUGUCACGUCAGAAAUGUGGGAGAGAAAUCCCAACACAAUGGAAAACGGAUAAGUUUGGGCACCUCACAGUCAAACAGAUGAAUGUUUUUAACCAUUAAAUUUUAACAAAUUUUAUUUAUCAUAAAAAAUGCAAAUACUCGUCAUCUUAAAUCCAACAAAAAUAUUUUUGGGCAUAAAAUUUUGAAAUUCUGUGUAAAAUGUGCCAAUUUAAGUUGAAAUUUUAAAUUAAGAUGGUGAAUUUUUAUUACCAUUUUUUUUUUUUACAAAGAAAUGUCUUAUGGUAAUUAUAGAAAAAUAGGAUCUUUCAACUACCUAAACAACAACUUGAACCAGCAAAUUUCUAAAAUACAACACACCAUUUCAAUUAAAAAAAUAUUUUUUUUUUAACAACACAUUUCAGCAAUUCAUUGUUAAAGUUCAAGCGCUUAAAUUCAGUCAAAUGAUGUUAAAAAAAAUCCUGUGUUAUGUUGUGCUGUUUUUAAACCAUCUGCAUUUGAAUUUGAAUUUAUGACAAUUUUUCAAAUUUCAAAUUUUUAAUUCUUCAAAUCUUACAUUUAAUAUUUGUAACUCAAAUUUGACCUUUUUCAUCACCCAAAAACUCUGUGUAAAACAUUUCUAAAUUAGAUGGCACAGAUCUGAUCGUAUUUUUGAAUUUAAAUGUAAGAUAUUCAUUUGAAGACAAUGAUUUUUUUUUACUUUGAUAGUAAGAAGAAAUGGUUAGAAAAUUGCUGGUAAAAAAAAAUUGAGAGAAAUUGUACUUUAAAUUUGACAAUGAUUCUGAGAGAUGUCCGGGUCUUGAUCAAGUGAAAGCUUAACUUUUGGUAUCUGAACAAGCCGGACAAAAAUCCGUCAUUCGCGGUGGGUGUCUCAGCAAUAAACAUUGGUGACAUCUCAGCCCCAUCACGAUGGGCGGUCUGUGCGGGUGGAAGGUGGGGAGGGGGUCAUAAAUCUCUUUGGGGGAGGUGGGGUCAUAUAAUUCUGGCUCUUCUCUAUCAGACGCUUCCAGCAUGAGUGAGUGAGAGCCGACUGUGUUAUCUUGCGAUCUUAACGAACGUGCUUGCUCGUGCAUCCCUUCCCUGAAGUGGGGCAUGGUGCUAAUUUGGCUAUUAUUUCUCCCUACCCCCGUCAACGGUGGUGUUCGCCCCUGAAGCUACCCCUGCCUGCACGAACAUCAGUGAGGGGACGGCUAAUCCCCUUAUCUGCCGCCCCCCCUCUUAUCUCCGGGUAGCUCGUGUCAGCCAGGCUCCACACAGGUCUGCGCGAAACCCCCCCUGCCAUAGGGACUGGACUUGGAUACCCCAUCUGGGCCCUCGGAAGUGCACAAAACAGGAGAAUGAAGGACAGGAAGUUUAGGCGGUUGGAGCUGAGGGGGUUUUAAGUGUUCUUGUCAGGUUUCUUGGCGGAGGCAACCUGUGCCUAAUUGACAACGAAUUGGCAAGGAGACCGGGACACCGCCCAAUGCUGCGGGGGAUCACAUUGUUCCCCGAGAGACAC